UAGACCCUGCUUAGGGAGGGCAGGUGGAACUUGUGUUAUUUAUACCUCUCUCAUAUCUAGUGUCUGGUGUUCCCUUUGCUAUUGAGGUGUGUGGUGUCAUCAUGCCAAGAUCUAAAGAGUUCUGUAAGGCCUUGAGAAAAAAGGUUGUGGAUGCCUAUGAAUCUGGCAUGGGAUUCAAAAAGAUCUCCAAAUUAUUUGAAAUACAUCAUACCACUGUAAGGAAAAUAAUCUACAAAUGGCACUGAUUUCCAACGAUUGCCAAUUAGUCCAGAACCAGCAAAUUCAGGCGAAGAACAGACCGUCUGAUGCAAAAAGAAGUCACCAAGGACCCCAGCAUUUCAUCACAGGAUCUGCUAGUAAGUCUUGCAACUGUUGGUGUCAAAAUUGCAUGCUUCUACAAUCAGAAAGAGAUUGCACAAAUUUGACCUGCAUGGGCAGAGUGUCAGGAAAAAGCAUUUGCUGUCUACCAUUUGCCUAUGACCAUAUGGGCAAAGACCAGGCCUUUUGGAAUAAUGUGCUUUGGAAAGACGAAUCAAAGAUAGAGUUGUUUGGCCACAGUAACAGCAGACAUGUUUGGUGCAGAGCCAAGAUACCUUUCAUUGAUUUCAUUGAUUAAUUCUGCAUCAUAUCAAAGAGUGCUUGAAGAUAAUGCGAGGCCAUCUGUCCAAAAGUUGAAGUUGAACCAAAAGUGGACCUUUCAACAGGAUAAUGAUCUGUGGCCUAAUGGCCUAGUCAAAGCCCGAAUUUGAAUCCCAUUGAAAUGUUGGGGGGGGGUGAGGGUAUUUUGAAAAGGGCAGUACAUGCAAGAAAACCCUCAAACAUCUUCCAACUGAAAGAAUAUUGCAUGGAAGAGUAUGUCAAAAAAGCCAACAUUUUCCAUGGGGUUUACUUACUUUUUCACAUUACUGGUUAUAAAUACAAUCUUUUUAAAUGCUGGGGUCUAUAAUGCCUCUCUGUAAUAUGUCAGAUUCAGAUACUGGGCCAUCAGGCUGGAGAGAAAUUUGAGAGGAUCUGGGCAGAGACUGCAGAAAAAAGAAGACUGUGUUGUGUUAAAGUGUGAGUAGCCGCAGAGAGAGGUGUGGCUCCUGGGGGAAAGCAGGACCUUGCACUCACAGGGCUGAGAAGUGGACUGGAACUGUUUCUAUUAAAAUGAGUGAGUGCAUAGCGGGAGGAGAGCGAGAGGAAAG
ensembl:lncRNA